ACCUGAUCAGCCUGCCGCGUGUGUGAAGAAGGCCUUUUGGUUGUAAAGCACUUUAAGCAGUGAAGAAGACCAUAACGGCUUAAUACCCGUUAGCGAUGACAUUAUACUGCACAAUAAGCACCGGCUAACUCUGUGCCAGCAGCCGCGGUAAUACAUAAGGGUGCAAGCGUUAAUCGGAAUUACUGGGCGUAAAGCGAGCGUAGGUGGCUUGAUAAGUCAGAUGUGAAAUCCCCGGGCUUAACCUGGGAACUGCAUCUGAUACUGUUAAGCUAGAGUAGGUGAGAGGGAAGUAGAAUUCCAGGUGUAGCGGUGAAAUGCGUAGAGAUCUGGAGGAAUACCGAUGGCGAAGGCAGCUUCCUGGCAUCAUACUGACACUGAGGCUCGAAAGCGUGGGUAGCAAACAGGAUUAGAUACCCUGGUAGUCCACGCCGUAAACGAUGUCUACUAGUCGUUGGGUCCCUUGAGGACUUAGUGACGCAGCUAACGCAAUAAGUAGACCGCCUGGGGAGUACGGCCGCAAGGUUAAAACUCAAAUGAAUUGACGGGGGCCCGCACAAGCGGUGGAGCAUGUGGUUUAAUUCGAUGCAACGCGAAGAACCUUACCUGGUCUUGACAUACACAGAAUCUUGUAGAGAUACGAGAGUGCCUUCGGGAAUUGUGAUACAGGUGCUGCAUGGCUGUCGUCAGCUCGUGUCGUGAGAUGUUGGGGUUAAGUUCCCGCAACGAGCGCACCCCUUGUC
rnacentral:rRNA from 1 species